rnacentral:rRNA from 1 species
AUUGAACGCUGGCGGCAGGCCUAAUACAUGCAAGUCGAACGCAGUGGGGACGGGUGAGUAACACGUGGGUAACCUCCCAUCAGAGGGGAUAACACUUGGAAACAGGUGCUAAACCGAUACUGAUGGAUGGACCCGCGGUGCAUUAGCUAGUUGGUGAGGUAACGGCCCACCAAGGCCACGAUGCGUAGCGGACCGGGAAGGGGGUUCGGCCACACUGGGACUGAGCCACGGCCCAGACUCCUACGGGAGGCAGCAGUAGGGAAUCUUCGGCAAUGGACGAAAGUCUGACCGAGCAACGCCGCGUGAGGGAAAAAGGUUUUCGGAUCGUAAAACUCUGUUGUUAGAGAAGCGGUAUCUAACCAGAAAGCCACGGCUAACUACGUGCCAGCAGCCGCGGUAAUAC